ACUAAUAAUAAACCAGGUACAAUUUGUAAACCAGGUUCUAAUAAUAAACCACUGGACAGGUACUAAUAAUAAACCACUGGACAGGUACCAAUAAUAACCCAGGUUCUAAUAGUUAACCACUGGACAGUUACUAAUAAUAAACCAGGUACUAAUAAUAAAACACUGGACAGGUACUACUAAUAAACCAGGCACUAAUAAUAAACCAGGUACUAAUAAUAAACCAGUUACUAAUAAUAAACAACUGGACAGGUACUAAUAAUACACCACUGGACAGGUACUAAUAAUAAACCAGGUACUAAUAAUAAACCACUGGACAGGCACUAAUAAUAAUCCAGGUACUAAUUACAAACCACUGGGCAGGCUCUACUAAUAAACCAGGUACUAAUAAUACACCACUGGACAGGCACUAAUAAUAAACCAGGUACUAAUAAUAAACCACUGGACAGGCACUAAUAAUAAACCAGGUACUAAUAAUAAACCACUGGACAGGUACUAAUAAUAAACCAGGUACUAAUUAUAAAUCAGGUACUAAUAAUAAACCAGUUACUAGUAAUAAACAACUGGACAGGUACUAAUAAUACACCACUGGACAGGUACUAAUAAUAAACCAGGUACUAAUAAUAAACCACUGGACAGGCACUAAUAAUAAUCCAGGUACUAAUUACAAACCACUGGGCAGGUACUACUAAUAAACCAGGUACUAAUACUAAACCAGGUACUAAUGAUAAACCACUGGACAGGUACUAAUAAUAAACCAGGUACUAAUAAUAAACCACUGGACAGGUACUAAUAAUAAACCACGAGACAGGCACUAAUAAUAAACCAGGUACUAAUAAGAAACCAGGCACAAAUAAUAAACCAGGUACUAAUAAUAAACCAGGUACUAAUAAUAAACCACUGGACGCGUACUAAUAAUAAUCCAGGCUCUAAUAAUAAACCAGGUACUAAUAAUAAACCGGGUACUGAUAAUAAACCACUGGACAGGUACUAAUAAUAAACCAGGUACUAAUAAUAAACCACUGGACAGGUACUAAUAAUAAACUAGGUACUAAUAGUAAACCACUGGACAGGUACUAAUAAUAAACUAGGUACUAAUAGUAAACCACUGGACAGGUACUAAUAGUAAACCACUGGACAGGUACUAAUAAUAAACCACUGGAAAGGUACAGUACAGGGCAGUCACUUCUAUCCGCCACUGGGGGUCGCCGUUGUCCCAUUACAUUCCAUCAAACCCAGUCCCGUGGCUUUACAGCUCGGGAAGAACAUAACUACGUUAACCGGCGCCGCGUCAUCAUAUACUGGGAGGAGACAGAGAGGGAGAGAGACAGAAAUAUAGACCCAGAAAGAGAGAAAGAGAGAGAUAGAAAGAGAGAGAGAGAGAGAGAGAGAGAGAGAGAGAGAGAGAGAGAGAGAGAGAGAGAUUCACCCAUUCAUACUAUAAGGAGGCUACUGCAUCGUGGUCCUCAGUACUUAUACAGCUUAGCUGACGGAGAGCGGGAGGCAAAGAAAGAGAGAGAGAGAGCGAGAGAGAGAGCAAGAGAGAGGAAAAAGAGAGAGAGAGAGAGAGAGAGAGAGCAAGAG
ensembl:lncRNA